rnacentral:misc_RNA from 1 species
UCCAGCUUAUCACUGGCAGUCUUACUAGAGUCCCCGGCUUCACCCGCUGGCAACUAGUAACAAGGGUUGCGCUCGUUACGGGACUUAACCCAACAUCUCACGACACGAGCUGACGACAGCCAUGCAGCACCUGUCUCUUGGUUCCUUUCGGCACACCCUAAUCUCUCAGAGCUUCCAAGCAUGUCAAGGGUAGGUAAGGUUUUUCGCGUUGCAUCGAAUUAAACCACAUGCUCCACCGCUUGUGCAGGCCCCCGUCAAUUCCUUUGAGUUUUAACCUUGCGGCCGUACUCCCCAGGCGGAGAACUUAUCGCGUUUGCUUCGACACCCAUGAGCUUCUGCUCAUAAACAUCUAGUCCUCAUCGUUUACAGCGUGGACUAC